AGGUCAAGUUUGGUUUCAUCAACAGCCUGGCAAGUGCGCAGCCAACCGUCAAAUGCUAGUAGUAGCUGUUUCAGACUUUCGAUAACCGAGACUGUUCAUAAACACUCAAAAAUGAUCAGGUUGAUCUUUGAAGAGGUGCAGUGAUUCCACCCGCUCAGCGGUCAGGUUUUUGGUAGAGGCUUGUUGCUGGGAUCCGAUGCUGGGACAGCGUCCACUGAAGAACAGAGAUUCCAGUUAACUGGAUGGGGAGCCAAUCCACUGGUCCUUAAAGGUGGACACUGAUCGCUACUUCCUGAAGAUGGAUUCCCAUCCUCGCUUCCUGACGUGCCUCGCUCCCUGCAGCCCUUCAUUUUCCCAGGAGUGACCCCACUUGCUCCGACGAAGUGCUCUUCACAAGGCUGUCAUCGGAAAGGUCAGAUCCAGAGAGCGAACGAGGCACGGAAGAAAUAAGAUGGAGAUCCUGCCAUCCAUCUCGCUGUCUGGAUCAAGACCCCAACCCGACCUUUAACAGUUUAUCAGCCUCAACAAACUAUCAAAGUGUACGUGGGAGCGCCGGUCGUGUUGCCUGUUCGCCGGAGUGUGUGUAUACACCACAGAAAGGAAGAGACACAGAAACAGACGGAGACAAAAAGCCUCUCAACUACAAACACUAACAUUUCUAUUAUUUACCUGCAACUAACCAGUUCUUUAAAGUUUUAUAUUUAAUUUAAGUUUCCCUCUUUGUGCACAACAUGGUCCAAGAACUGCCUCAGUGGAUAAAUUUAAAGUUACUGCAUUUUCAAAAUGCAACUACAUGCAUGUUUUGUUCUUUAAUUAAAUGUAUUUGGAGUAAUUUGACCUCUUAAUUAUCUCUUAUAAUUAUUUUCAUUUAUCAAUAAAUGAGACGGUUAUCAAAAUUAUUCUCAAUUAAUCAACUAAUUCUGGUCUUUUUAUUGUCAUCUUAAAACAAUAUUUCACAACAUCAUGUAUUUUAAAUUGAAAAAAGAAGUAUAUAUUCGUUUGGCUUGUAAUAGGUAAAGCUGCUGUUACGUCUCAAGUUCAGUUACAUGUUCGUUUUUCAUACUUUUCCCAUAUUGUCUUAAAUAAUUGAGGUGCUGACAUCCUCUCCAGCAGUUUGAUAAAUUUCAUUUAGCUUGUUGAACCUGUGUUAUAAAACAGUGCAUUUGUAUUUUUCAUAUUCAAACAUAUCCCUUAAUCUUCUUAUCUUUUCUGAGCUUGUACUUCAUAAGACUUCAGCCACCACAGGUGAUACUGGUGCCAACGUGACUAUUUGUAUACGAUUUCUCGUCUCAACACACAGAAAGAAAGGCUUUGAUUAUAACCAAAAUCAUUCCUCACUGGUUUCCACACUUGAAGAAUAACAGUAAUUUGUCCAUUUAGUUUUCCAGUUCAGAGAAAACUGAUUAGUUAAUAGUUUAACUCUUUCAUCAAUUAAAAAUAAACUAAACAUAAAUAUGGACUAAAUAGAUAAAGUUAAGCUAAUAAAAAAUUUUUGAAAGUACAUUAUCAUAGUGUAUAUAUAGUUUUUAACUGGUUACAAUAAAGUGCUGGUAAAGCCUUUACUGUGUUUUCAUCACAUUAACUUUCACUUUUACUCUCAUCAGCCUCCAGGCGACGAUUACAAGCAGCGGAGCAAAUCCACAACUGGAUGUCAUGAACUAUGGAAACAUGUCAGGACACAGGGAAAACCAAACAGUGUCAGAUUCCCCCUACAGUCAACACUACACAUGAAAAUGAUUUAAUGUUGAGAGAUGAAGAACAUCUGCUGCCAUUUGUCUAUUUAUCCGGUUGGUUGAUGAACAAACUCAUUUUCUCCAGCACCGAGACGUCAUGCCGGUCCGUGGCUGUGACGUGAAAUGCACCGGUGGGUACAGCAGAUGUUGGGUUUACUGUCCUUGAAUAACUGUGAUUUAUGAGCGUAACUCGGAGACUAAAAUAAGAACAGAGUUUGGAUUCUCGGUGCAGCCUCGAGCUCAGGAGAAGAAACGCACCUGAGCUUCCUCCACUGUGAACACACAGGAAGAGAAAUACUGCAGGGCUGCUCCCACAGGACGUUUCUUACUACAAGCAAGAUACUUUCCCUGCAGUGUGAUUUUUCUUCUUUUUUUUUAUAUCAAAAUGUGUAGCUACAGUCGAAAGUGAUUUUAGAUGUAGAUGCAACAUAUUUAAUGUAGGUCUAUUUUAGUAGACACCAAGAAUAAAAUGAUGAACUCUAGAAAGGCCAUAAUAUGUCUUCUUUAAUAGAGGUAAUUUUGCCGCUCUGAGCAGAAAAGAUGUAACGCAGAGACACUGAUUUGAUGAAAAUUGCACUUCUUUUUGUAAAAGGGCAGUAAGUAAAACUUAUGCUCUCUUAUAAAAAAAAACAAAAAAAACACAUGAUGUACCUCCCAGUUGUUUUUCACAACUUUGACACAAUCAUUUCCUCUGCAGCUGCUGAGAUUCGAGGCUUUCAGAUCUCACCUUUCAGUCAGAGCUUUACUUUUCCGAACAAAAACGUCCUGACCACUGACUAUUUUAUCAAGACUUUUUGUUCCCGUACCUCAAAAACCAGAGUGACUAAGCAGCGUUACAGAAGAAAGCCUUUGUAAGGGUCAAAAGCGCUGUAAGGGUUUUUUUUUGCCACUUGUAAAAAGGACAUGCAGUUUAAGAAUCAGAUGGCAGUAAAGGAGGUUUGUAUGAGGGGAAUCUAGUGUGAGGCAGGAAGGACAGAUGUACUGUGAAUAUUGGACUUAUGUUGCGUUCGUGUCUCGUGGGAGUUACCCAAAUGACCAGUUUCAGACUUGAAAAUACUGUUCACGUCAAAUUCCAAGUUGUAAUUACAUCUGGGAGACUGAUCUUUUCUGUGGCGUGCUGCUGACUGGAGGAUCUCACACUCUCUAAAGCCUCUACUGAACCAGUAACUAACGUGCGGAGUGACGUAGGGACUGCUCAAAUCUCAGAUGGGUGAUGGGCUGCUUAGUUGUCUGAGAGACAUAACAAACUACUUUUAUUACUGGUCAACACAUAAGUGUAAAGAACAACUUUAAAUAUUCUAAUAUGAAAUAAAACAAAGAAAUGGAUGCUAUUUGUAAGUCAUGGCUACAACCAUGGACGGAUUACUCUCUCACAGAGGCAAGACCCCCAGAUCGAAAGUCAUUUUAUAUCUCUUUUUGGACGUUUUGUGUCUCUACGAUCGUUUUGCAUCUUGUUGAGGUCAUUUAAUAUCUCUUGGUAGACAUUUGGUCCCUUUGGGGUCAUUUUGAAUCUUGUUGUAAUUGAACAUCUUUUUGUGGAUGUUUUGCGUCUCUUUGAGGUAAUUUUGUCUAUUGCGGUAAUUUAACGUCUCUUUGUGGACAUUUUAUUUCCGUCUGUUGUUUGUGACUGUAUUACAGAUGUGCAUCUGUUGGAUCCAGAUGUGUCACAGCAUCAGUCAAAACCUACAGCUGCAAAGAUCCUCAACCAGUCAGAGUGAAACUAACGCUUGCUUUGACCAGUACAAACCACAGGAACAAUGAAUUAAAGAACGUUGUAAGAAUUUUGAAAAGGUUUAUUACUUGUGCAAUAAUUUAGGCUUCCAGUAUUUUAAAAAAUAUCAUGUCUGUGACAAGCGACACACAUCUAAAAUAUUCUGGUUCUUUUUACUUCUGUAGUCUGUAACAAAAUAGACUACCUUUAAAUUCCUGUGAACAUAUUGCUCCAAUAUCUUAAGUAAAACAGAACACGAUUACAUUCCCUUUAACACCUACUGCAUGAAGACACUGCUCACAUAUUAUAAUAUAAUAAAGAAUGUCAUAACAUCGAAUAAAGUGUCGAAUUUAUUUUUAGUUAAAUACUUCUCUUUAAAACAUCGUAGCUAUUAUUACAAAGUGAAUAGUGAGACCAAGAUCACCAAACUACAGCAGUGAGCACUUAACAAACAGUGAUGUAAUUUAAAUCUAAAGUUAAUGUAAAAUCUGUGCACAAAAUACAGUGGCUACCAUUAGUAGUAGUAGAAGUAGUAUGGCACACAUGAGCUAAAUACUUAAGACAGCAUUUAGGAACAUCUGUCCAGAUCAGAUGUGCAGAUGAUAUCAUGGGAAUCUGGAGGGUGAGGGCUUGGAGCCAGAGAGAGAAACUUACUUUAAUUUAUCAAAUUAAAAAUGUGUAUUUAUAUCAAAAUCACAAGGCUGGAAUGUAACGGGGAAAUUCUGACGUUAAAAACAUGUCUGCUAAUGACAGUUAUAGUAUUUUUUUUUUUCGUUUCCAGGCAGACAACUUCUUGUGAAAAGGAAAUUUAGUCAAAAGGUAAAAGUACAAACUGGAGGUUGUCAACUUGGUCCCUUCAAUCAUCUUUAUUAAUGUACAGAAAAAAGCGCCUUCAUCAGCUCGGUACAUGAAAAGAAAAACACCUUCAGUAAAUUUACUCUGAAGGUUUCGACUCGACUUUGGCUCCAAGCCCCCUGUGAACUGGGGUUUGGGAAUCUUUUUUUUUUUCUCUACCCUUCCUCCUCCGUCUCCGUGAUCUUUCUAUCCCCACAACGUGCUCUUCUACGGGACUCUUUUUAACUCAUCCAAGU